rnacentral:lncRNA from 10 species
UGAAAACAAGUAAUCCACCCUCUGAACCACUGAGAUCGCAAUUCACAAUCUCUCACUUGGCUGCUUCUAGCAAAGGGUAGAGUUCUCGACCUUCCAUUCGCAUUGUGAUGUCUAGAGCAGUGAUUUCCAAAUGGGAGCAAAAGGAUCCAAGGGAAUGCUCAGAAAUAUGCAAUGGGGUACAGAAAGAAGACAUAUGCACUAACAUGAGCUCAUGGUGUUCCUCCACUUUGGAGGCCUGAAAAAGAAACACCGGGAAAAUUCUGCAGGACAUUUCACUACUCCACUGACUAAAAGGGCCAGGAAAUAUAGUCACCCAUAUGCCCAAAAAAGAAAAGAGCUGAAUAUUGUAUUUAAGAUUUGGUUUACUUAUCUCAAAAAGAAGUGACUAAAAGUUCAAUGGGAGAAAUGAUAGAAGCUAAUUGUGAUAAAACAGAUAAAGUACAUGGCACAAUGGAUUACACUUUUUUCUUGAAUAACUGACAGGGGAUCUGAAAUGAUGAAUAUAUUACAUGGAGAUCCUGGGUCCCAAUUCCCAGGAAAGUGAUCUACCUGCUACCUCAACAAGCCAACCAUAUCAGAAUGCAAUACAACAUUCCUAAGAGUGUGAACCCCUGGAGUUUUACAAUCAUUUGAAAUUCAAAGGCAAAUGCUGAGAGCACACCAUCAUGAGAAUUGGCACCAAUGAAAAAGUUUGUCAAAAUCACUCUGGCACUAAACCACUGAAUGUUUUCAACACAAAUGGAAAGCUGACAUCAUUUAUAGACAACUCAUGGACCAACACAAAGGAAAAAAUGUCAGAUCCAGUGAAUUUCUUUUCUUGUAAUUACUGUAUGAUUUCAACAUUGGCGUCUGUAAGAAAUACUAUUUUCCUCUGAAGUGUUUUCUGUAGCAUUAUUUUGUUUACCAUGGGAGGUUUGUCUUCUCCCAUUUUCCUUAGAAGUUGAACACACAUUUUCAAAGCCUGCUAGUGAUUUUGAAUUUCAAAAGCGAUUACAAGCAUGAUUCAUGCAAUAUGACUCAUCCCUCUCAAAUGCUCUAAUUGUAUAAACUAUAUCCUUCAAAGCGUCUUAUGGACACAUUAAAUAUUAGUAAACACAUUUUCAAGUGCCAAAAGGUAUGGUUCCUUCACACUUGCUGAUAAGACUGUAAUUGAUCCUCUAAUUUCCAUGUAUGAUUCAAAAUAAAGCUAAGACUGUGGUAAGUCUCGCAUUUUUAACAUUAAACUUGAACACACCAGUUCUGCCACUGCAGUAGCCACAUCUUGAUUCUUAACAGCAGUCACCUUCACCUCCAUAAUUUCCCUUUUGUUGCUUCAAAUUAUUUGUUGUACUAAGCACACUUUCUCUACCAAUAAAUUCAUGCCUCUUAUUACAGUGUAAGUUUCCAUCUCUUAGUAAUUUGAAGAAUAAACGGUCAUUUUCCAAACCAUCUAAAGAAGACCUCUUCAAGUCACUAUCAUAUUAUAUUACUCACUUUUAUUUUGCUCAGGACAGUGUACCGACAGUCUUCCAUCAUUAAACUUAAAAUUUCAUCAGGGCAGGACCCUUUUUUUAAAAAAAAAAAAGUUGAUUUAACUUUAUUUUUAAAUUCAUAAGAAAUAAUUGAAUAUAUUUAUAGUAUACAGCAUGAUAUUUUGAUAUAUGUAUAUGUUUUGGAAUUGUUAAUUCAAGCUAUUUAACAUGUGCAUUAUCUCAUAGAAGUAUCUAUUUUUGUGGUGAGAACACUUAAAAUUUACUCUCUAAGCAAUUCUCAAAUAUACAAUAUAUUGUCAUUAACUGUAGUCAACAAGAUGUGCAAUCGUUUUUUGGAAUGUAUUUAUUGUGUGUAACUGAAUAUUUGUGUUGUUUGAUUAAUAUCCUCCCAUUCCUUCCAUCCCCUAGCCUUUAAUGACUACUAUUUUACUUUCUGUUUCUAUGAGUUUGAUUUUUUUUACAUUCCAUAUGUAAAUGAGAUUAUGCAAUAUUUGUUUUUCUGUGCCUGGCUUCUUUCACUUAGCAUAAUGUCUUCCUGGUUGAUCCAUGUUUUUUCAUAUGACAGAACUUCCUUCUUUUUUAAGGCAGAAUAGAAUUGUAUUGUUUACACACACACACACACACACACACACACACACACACACACACACAGUCUUUAACCAUUCAUCUGUUGAUAGACACUUAGUUGAUUCCAUUCCCUGGCUAUUGUGAACAAUGCUGCAAUGAACAUGGGAAUGAAGAUAUCUCUUUGACAUUCUGAUUUCAUAUGAAACAGAACUCUUUUGUAUCAUGUUCAAAACUGUAUCUGCCUUCUUUUCUCUGCCCAGGAUGUAAAAAAAGUGGCUGAUACUUAGAUGAUACUUGGAGAAUAUUUGUUAAAUGAAUAAAUAAAUAAUGAAUCCACUGUUGAGAAUGAGAUUAGUCAACUAAAGUCUUAUCCACAGACAAUGUUCUGAGUUGAGACUGAUUGUGGUUAGGGGCCAUGGAAGGUGAUUUUACUUCACCAUUCUUAACAGCAUAGCCAUAUGAAAGGCAACAUUCAAAUAAACUUGACAUCAGUAUGAUUUUGGGGACUUUCUCUAACAUUAUUCAUCCAUAUAGGAGACAGGAGAUAUUAAAGGUAAUGACCAAUUUUUGAUCAGACAGUCAGAAGUACUAUGAGUAGCCCACAAGAGCCGUAUCUAGAAAGAAUAUAAUGCAAGUCCCAAAUAUGAGGCACAAGUAUAAUUUAAAUUUUUUAGUAAUCAUGUCUUAGUAAAAAGAAAGAGAUAAAAAUAGUUUUAACACAGUUUAG